GUGCAGAAGUGGCCUGACGGUGACAGUCUAUAAAAACUGUAGCUUGCGCAACUCCAGAACAUUGUGUUACACAGAACUGCAACUUAGCUAAGCGUAUACCUCAACAUGUCUUUCAAAAUUGGGACAUUGAGCCUUCUUGCUGUUACACUCAUGUUGAUCUAUGGAUAUCACGUCACCACUGCCUAUCCUCAUCAAUGGAGCUUGCCGGUAGUCUGUCUCAGAAGACCCUGCACUACAAGCAAUGUUGAAGAGGUAUGCGGACGAGGUUGUCGUUGUGUAUACUACAGAGCCCCUGGGCCAGAGGCCAAGCAAGGGCCCGCACAAAUGAUGUGCUCAGCGUAAAAAAAAUAUGAAACCGUGCUAUUUUCUGCGAUGUCGAAAUAAAGCAAAUAAACCUUCUGUUACAAUUUUUUUGCGUGACGAUUCUGGCUGUAUAUAAAGGUAGCUUAUUUUUCAAUAAAAACUUCAAUUCUG
rnacentral:lncRNA from 1 species